rnacentral:rRNA from 1 species
GACGAACGCUGGCGGCGUGCUUAACACAUGCAAGUCGAACGGUAAGGCCCUUCGGGGUACACGAGUGGCGAACGGGUGAGUAACACGUGGGUGAUCUGCCCUGCACUUCGGGAUAAGCCUGGGAAACUGGGUCUAAUACCGGAUAGGACCACUGCCUGCAUGGGUGGUGGUGGAAAGCUUUUGCGGUGUGGGAUGGGCCCGCGGCCUAUCAGCUUGUUGGUGGGGUGAUGGCCUAACCAGGCGACGACGGGUAGCCGGCCUGAGAGGGUGACCGGCCACACUGGGACUGAGAUACGGCCCAGACUCCUACGGGAGGCAGCAGUGGGGAAUAUUGCACAAUGGGCGCAAGCCUGAUGCAGCGACGCCGCGUGAGGGAUGACGGCCUUCGGGUUGUAAACCUCUUUCAGCACCGACGAAGCGCAAGUGACGGUAGGUGCAGAAGAAGGACCGGCCAACUACGUGCCAGCAGCCGCCGUAA